rnacentral:tRNA from 1 species
GUAGUGGCUCAGUGGUAGAGCACUUGCCUAGCAUGUGUGAGGCACUGGGUUCAACUCUCAGCACUACA